rnacentral:tRNA from 1 species
GUCCCUGUAGCUUAUACAAAGCAUGGCGCUGAAGACGCCAAGAUGGUCGUUGCACACACACCCAAGGACA